UCAGGAUACAAAUGCAUUUUAGACGUUUAACGCCUUUCAAAAAAGACCAUACAAUAGCAAAAUUUAAGCCCUGAUAUCGAUAAAUAUCAGUCUACCGCCCUCUAUUUUAAUUGAACUGAUUUGCUGAUAUUAGAACAUAUCGGUUUGCCGCCCUCUAUAAUAUUUGUCUGCGAAUAUUGAAUGCGGCUGCUGUUGACUGUACUGUACGUAUGUAGUAGCUGUAUUCCUGUUGUUGUGCAGUUUAAGAAGUUUGUUUUACUACUUAAUAAACAUUUAAAAGAUGCUUUAUUCUUUGAUGAUGAUCCACCACUAACAGAGGAACAACAAAUGAAGAGAAGACAUGAAACAUUUAAACAAAUGGUUGACUUCUUUCCAGGUGAGAUGUAACAGAGUUGUAGCAGAUGCUUAGAGUUACAUAAUUGAAUAAUUCAAUUUCAAUUUACAUUUUUUUUAAACUUUUUUUUUACCCAGGACAUAAAAAUAUGUAAAUAAGAUAAUAAACUUA